rnacentral:lncRNA from 1 species
ACAAACUCACUUGGCAUGAUCUCUAUAUUAUCCUCUCUUAUACUCUCCUCCCAGAAAAAAAAAGAAAAGAGUGGCUUGACUUUCAGAUAUUACAUUCAAGUCUUUAUUUCAAGUUGCUUUUUAUAUGUGGUGUGAGAUGUGGGUCUUAUUUCUUUGUUCUGUAUGUGGAUGUCCAUUUUUUUCCCCAACACCAUGUAUUGAAGAGUUUGUCCUUUAACCAUUGUAGACACAGCUCACGCCUAUAAUCCCAGCACUUUCGGGGCCCAAGGUGGGCAGAUCGCUUGAGUCCAGGAAUCUGAGACCAGCCUGGGCAUCAUAGCAAAACCCCAUCUCUACAAAAAAUUCAAACAA